GACGUAGGGCGCAAGCGUUGUCCGGAUUUAUUGGGCGUAAAGAGCUCGUAGGCGGCUUGUUGCGUCGACCGUGAAAACCCGGGGCUCAACCCCGGGCCUGCAGUCGAUACGGGCAGACUAGAGUGCGGUAGGGGAGACUGGAAUUCCUGGUGUAGCGGUGAAAUGCGCAGAUAUCAGGAGGAACACCGGUGGCGAAGGCGGGUCUCUGGGCCGUAACUGACGCUGAGGAGCGAAAGCGUGGGGAGCGAACAGG
rnacentral:rRNA from 1 species